ACUAUUUUAUUUUAAAUCCACACAUACAUCGACACGACACGCAGGGUGCCUGACUAAAAAACAGGUUGCGUUUGUUGGGGUGUAUGGAGGCAUAAC
rnacentral:sRNA from 1 species